rnacentral:misc_RNA from 1 species
UUUCCGUAGGUGAACCUGCGGAAGGAUCAUUAAAGAAUUUGCCCCGUCCUCUCGAGGAUGGGUCCUCUUCUAAACCGUGUAUACAUACCUUUGUUGCUUUGGCGGGCCGCCGUCUCGGCGUUGGCUUCGGCUGACUGUGCCCGCCAGAGAACCCCAACUCUUCUGUUUAGUAUUGUCUGAGUACUAUAUAAUAGUUAAAACUUUCAACAACGGAUCUCUUGGUUCUGGCAUCGAUGAGGAACGCAGC